rnacentral:rRNA from 1 species
AACGAACGCUGGCGGCAUGCCUAACACAUGCAAGUCGAACGAGACCUUCGUGUCUAGUUGCGCACGGGUUCGUAACGCGUGGGAACCUGCCCUUAGGUUCGGAAUAACUCCCCUAAAGGUGUUCUAAUACCGGAUAAUAUCUUCGGACCAAAGAUUUAUCGCCUUUGGAUGGGCCCGCGUUGGAUUAGCUAGUUGGUAGGGUAAAAGCCUACCAAGGCGACGAUCCAUAGCUGGUCUGAGAGGAUGAUCAGCCACACUGGGACUGAGACACGGCCCAGACUCCUACGGGAGGCAGCAGUGGGGAAUAUUGGACAAGGGGCGAUAGACUGAUACAGCAAUGCCGCGUGAGUGAUGAAGGCCUUAGGGUUGUAAAGCUCUUUUACCCGGGAUGAUAAUGACAGUACCGGGAGAAUAAGCUCCGGCUAACUCCGUG